rnacentral:rRNA from 1 species
AUGACCUGCAACAGCAUGGUGCAAGGGUUGAACUGGUGGAUUCAGGGUCACACCUUCACCACCGAUAUGCGUCAACUGGAGUUGGGCGCCUACGACGGCGUGCUCAGCAUGGAUUGGUUGGAGCAGUUCAGUCCCAUGAGCUGCCACUGGCUCGACAAGACGCUGACAUUCGAGUACCACAGCGCAAUGAUCACCCUGCAAGGUGUUCGACCGAAGCAGCCCGAGGAAGUGGAGGAGAUCGAGCCCGAGCAGCUGCACAAAUGGCACGCCAGCAAUGACAUUUGGUACAUGGUCGUCCUGGAUUUGCCCAGCGCACCAGAGCCACCUGCAACCAAAAUUCCACCAAGUGUUCAGAGCGUUCUGACGGACUUCGCCGACGUGUUCGCCGAACCAAAGGGCCUACCUCCUCACCGCCGCUACGAUCACGCAAUCACCCUGGUGGACAACGCGCGCCCCGCCAACUCGCGCCCGUACCGCUACUCGCCCCUCCAGAAAGACGAGAUCGAGCGCCAAGUCCGCGAGAUGCUCGAGUCAGGUGUCAUCGAGCACAGUAUGAGCCCGCUCGCCGCGCCGGUGCUGCUCGUCAAGAAGAAGGACGGCACCUGGCGCUUUUGCCUCGACUACCGCCGACUCAACGACGCCACGGUCAAGAACAAAUUCCCACUGCCCAUCGUCGACGAGUUGCUCGACGAACUGGCUGGAGCAGCCUUCUUCUCCAAGCUGGACCUCCGCGAUGGUUACCACCAAAUACGCAUGCGCGCAGGCGACGAAGAGAAGACGGCGUUCAAGACACACCAUGGCCAUUUCCACUUCAAGGUCAUGCCGUUCGGGCUGACGAACGCACCGGCCACGUUCCAAUGCCUCAUGAAUGCAAUCUUCACCCAGUACGUGCGUAAAUUCGUGAUCAUAUUUUUG